rnacentral:tRNA from 1 species
GCUCUGUAGCGCAGUGGUCGCGCCCUCCAAUUGUGCAGGAGACGACCUCGGUUCGAAUCCGAGCAGAAGCA